UAUUGCACAAUGGGGGAAACCCUGAUGCAGCGACGCCGCGUGAGUGAAGAAGUGACUCGCUAUGUAAAGCUCUAUCAGCAGGGAAGAAAAAAGACGGUACCUGACUAAGAAGCCCCGGCUAACUACGUGCCAGCAGCCGCGGUAAUACGUAGGGGGCAAGCGUUAUCCGGAUUUACUGGGUGUAAAGGGAGCGCAGACGGCAUAGCAAGUCUGGAGUGAAAGCCCGCGGCUCAACCGCGGGACUGCUCUGGAAACUGUUGAGCAUGAGUGCAGGAGAGGCAGGCGGAAUUCCUAGUGUAGCGGUGAAAUGCGUAGAUAUUAGGAGGAACACCAGUGGCGAAGGCGGCCUGCUGGACUGUAACUGACGUUGAGGCUCGAAAGCGUGGGGAGCAAACAGG
rnacentral:rRNA from 1 species